rnacentral:rRNA from 1 species
GGGUCAGUAGGUUGGUCGUGCCACCGGUACGUACUGGUCUCACUGAUUCCUCCUUCCUGAAGAACCGUAAUGCCAUUAAUUUGGUGUUGCGGGGAAACAGGACUGUUACUUUGAAAAAAUUAGAGUGUUUAAAGCAAGCUAACGCUUGAAUACAUUGGCGUGGAAUAAUGAAAUAGGACGAUCGAUCCUAUUUUGUUGGUUUCUAGGAUUGACGUA